rnacentral:rRNA from 1 species
AAAGUUUGAUCAUGGCUCAGGAUGAACGCUAGCGACAGGCUUAACACAUGCAAGUCGAGGGGCAGCGGGGAGUAGCAAUACUUCGCCGGCGACUGGCGCACGGGUGAGUAACACGUGUGCAACCAACCCCGUACCGGGAGAUAACCCGCGGAAACGUGGACUAACAUCCCAUAAGACUCUAGAGCCGCAUGGCUUUGGAUUUAAAAUUCCGGUGGUACGGGACGGGCACGCGCGACAUUAGGUAGUUGGCGGGGUAACGGCCCACCAAGCCG